rnacentral:rRNA from 1 species
UACAGAGGUCCCAAGCGUUGUUCGGAUUCACUGGGCGUAAAGGGUGCGUAGGCGGUCGGGUAAGUCUGAUGUGAAAUCUCACAGCUUAACUGUGAAACUGCAUUGGAUACUAUCCGGCUCGAGGAAUGGAGGGGAGACUGGAAUACUUGGUGUAGCAGUGAAAUGCGUAGAUAUCAAGUGGAACACCGGUGGCGAAGGCGGUUCUCUGGGCCUUACCUGACGCUGAGGAGCGAAAGCGUGGGGAGCGAACAGG